rnacentral:tmRNA from 1 species
GGGGGCGACUAGAAUCGAUUCGGACCAGUGAGCAGCGAGGGGCAUGCCGAGGUUGUCAGGAGGCCUCGUAUCCGCCACCCUGCGUGGCGGAUCCGCCUUCGGCGGAAAACACCUGGCAGAACACCAAGUGCCAACUACAACCCUGUAGCAGAAGCGGAGUCCAUUCUCGCUUCUGAGGCACUCCAAGCCGUUGCCUAAGUAAUUAGGUGACGCCGUCGUCCGGUCAGCCUGCGGGCCGGGUGGGCGGGUCGAGCAGGCUGGUCCCGCCCCAUGCCGCAUGGGACGGGACGAGACGACAGCGGCUCAGUCCUGACGCGCCCGCUCCGCAGGCGGGUCAGGAUGAAUGGUUCGAUGCGGGGCUACGCAUGUAGAGGGCUCACGCUCUCGAUCCGAAGACCUGGGUGCAAUUCCCAGCGCCUCCACUU